GAUGAAGAACGUAGCGAAAUGCGAUAAGUAAUGUGAAUUGCGGAAUUCAGUGAACCAUCGAAUCUUUGAACGCACAUUGCGCCCGGCAGUAAUCUGCCGGGCAUGCCUGUCCGAGCGUCAUUUCUGCCCUCGAGCGAGUCCAGCAUCUAGGUGCUGGGCCCGCCCGGCGUUGGGGCACUACGGGAAGCCCUGUGCUGUCCCCCGUAGGCCCCGAAAUGAAGUGGCGGUCCUGCCGCGGCGCCCCCUGCGUAGUAUAACAGCUCGCUUCGGGACCCGGUGGAGGCCUGCCGUCAAACCUUACUCUCUAAGUUUGACCUCGGAUCAGGUAGGGUUACCCGCUGAACUUAAGCAUAUCAAUAAGCGGAGGA
rnacentral:misc_RNA from 1 species